AAUGUCGUGCUAUAGGUAUAUAAUUACAAGCAUUCAUCUAAUAAUAAAGAGCGUGUGCAGUUUAAUUUUGUCGCUAACCUUACUAAUAUAAGAUGGGGUACCCGCUUCAGCAACAUCAGUUGUUACAAGAACCUCGACAAUGGGAUCACACUGGAAACGACAGAUAUACAGUUAAUAAGGAUUUGUAUCUGACACGCCACAUGCAAUGUUUGACAAUCUCCCAAUUUGAGUGAAAAAAUACAAUUCAAGUACAAGUUUCAUGUAAUCUAUAUUAUACUGUAAUCUAUAUUAUACUGUUCGUGGACACACAAACUUGGGGAGAUAAACAUAACUAGACAAAGACAAAAAAUGGGCUUAAGUUGUUAUGUUAUAUGGGCUUAAGUUGCUGUUAUGUUUCAAAUUGGGCUUGAGAUGGGCUUUAGUUGAAACCUUAUUGGAGACAGAAUAUGGGUUUAAGUUGUUAUGUUAUAUGGGCUUAAGUUGUUCUUAUGUUUCGAAUUGGGCUUGAGAUGAGCUUUGGUUGAAAAUACUUAUCAACCUUUACAACAGAGCUAUCAACUGCUCCUUUCACUCCACCGCCGGAGUUGAAUCACUUCACUACUCCAUCCUCUCCCGAUGUGCCUUUUGCUCUGACCUUUUCAUCUGCUAUGGAUCCCAAAAGCACCAGUAAAUCAAGUUAUGUCACUGCCAAUUUCAACUUCUAUCAACACUCAACUUCUAUUACCAAAAUACUUUUCAAUUUCAAUUUCUAUUUCUUUAACUUUAACUUAUCGAUUUCAAUUUCUAUUAGUUAUCAAUUUUUAUUGCUUAAGUUGUUAUGUUGGCCUUAAGUUGUUAUGUUGGGCUUAUCUCUUCGACUGCCUAAAACCUUAAUUAAGCGAAAGAUUCUCUUUGUCUGUGAAUCAAAUCGAACACAGAGGUAACUCUCUUCUUCCACCUUCAUCUUCUACUACUUGAUAAUCCAAUUUGUCUUUUUUUUGUUGUUCUCCCAAUGAAAUUUAUUUUGCUAAUUGUUUAUUUAUUGUGAGUUAAAAUAGGUUGUUCCUUCUGCAUAGAAAUAGAAAGGUUAUUAUUUUUCGAUUUAGUUACUAAAAGAGUUGGUACUUGGUACAGAGAUAUCAAAGAAGAGUGCGAAAAAAACAAAACAUUGAUGAAAAAAUUGUGAUUUUUUCACAUGAACCUGUUGUUCCUACUUCCUAAGAAACAAGCAGUGGCUCUUCUUCCUCUACAAGUCUACAAGUUGGCUUUUUUCUUAAUCUUCCUCUCCUCGCAACAAGUAACUAAGUAAGCACUUUCUCUUUUUGUAGGUUGUUUAUUUUCUUCAUUUUUUGUACUUUUUUUAUGUGUUUGCAUGUGGUUUGUAACCAGCAGUAGUAUGUCAACCCCUCCAAUCAUUAAGAUUAUAAUCACUGAGUUAUCGACAAUAGGAGAAUUCAAUGGGGUAUAUAGAUUUAUGUUAUAGAAAUUUAAUAUCAUUCAAGAUGCCAAAUCAGUACCAAUAAUAGUAAUUAAUAAUAAACGGGAGAAAAUAUUUUGGCCCUUUCGGGAGAGAUCUUUUAGAGUAGAGGCAUCCCUUUGUGCUAAAAUUCACAGUUACUAAGCCAAAGCAUUGGCUCAGUAACGAAAUGAACCCUCAUAUCAGCUCAAGGUGACUGGCCUGUGAGACAAUGUUUAACUUAGGAUCGAAGACAUCAAUGCCAUGGAUAACUCAAAAGAGUCCAGAGAGUGCAAAGGUCAUAUGACUAAUGACUUUCAUACUGUCCAAGAAGGUCCUUGCUAUAUUGAGAGAAAAUUUACGAACGUCUUUUCAAUAUAGCUUUCUUCAUGCUUACAACUUAAAUCUAAUGCCUCAAGGACUGGGACUUCUCGAAGUAUUAGAGUGGUUUGCGACCACCUAAUGUCACGAUUGUCAAAGCUAAUACUGAUGACGCCUUUAUAGGUAACCCAGGACAAGGCGACAUAGGAGUGAUCUAUAGAAAUCAUUCAGGAGAAUUUAUGGGGUGCUUGGCACAAGGACUAGGCAUCACAGAUAACUUCACAGCUGAGUGUUGGGCAAUAACUAAAGCUAUUGAAGAAGCCAUUGAUCAAGGAUGGCUGAACUUAUGAGUGGAAACUGAGUUCAUACCAGCUGCUUAGGUGUGUAGUAACCGGAGUCCUCCAUAGCAGGUUCGAGCUCAAUUUAUGAGGGCAACUAAAAGAAUCCAAUCUUUAUGUAUAACCCAUAUUUAUAGAGGGUAAUUUUUCAGCUGACAUGGCAGCAAAGAGAGGGUCAACUCUGAACUUAGGUAUGAAAGAGUGGAGCUUAAUUAGACCCACAUUCAUUACUUGCUUGGAGGAAACCUACAGAGCUUAUUAUAGACUUAAGUGAUGAUUUGAUGUAAGCAUGAAGAGCUUGGAAUAUAAACUCAGUUCCUCAAUUUUCUUUUGUAUUUCCUUUUCUUUUUAUUAAUGAAGCUCACCUUAGCAAAAAAAAAAAAAAAAAAAUCCAGCAAUUUUCUGGAAUGUAGACUGUUUAGAAAACCAAAUAUACAUACUGCCUAUAAAACCGAAGGACAAGCUUAUUCCAGUAUUGAUCCAUUGAGUGUGGCGUUGUUUUUGAAGUUUAUUGCUUUGAUUCUGCGAUAGAUUGAAAUCUACCAAUGGUAAUAACUUUUAGUAACAAUUAUUCAGUCUCCCAUCUUCUUUUACUUGGUAUAUUUGUAGGAUGAGUAUCUGAAAGCUUAUUAUGAUCCAUAUGCCGCUUUGCUCUUGAAACAACAAGAACUAGAAGAUACAAGUAAUUUUUCAAACCAGUCUAAUCGUCAAGGUCAGGUACAAUGAUGAUGCCGAAUAAGAAGAUGCUCUAACUUCAGGUACACUUUUCUUGCAUUAUCAGCUAAACUACGCUUAUCUCUUUGUGAAGUAAGAUAAAUUAUGUGGCUGAAAGUGUAGUUCCUAAUAUAUAUUUAGUUAUUAUUAUAUAUUUAAAAACCUCUCAUAUUCCCAAUGGAUUUUGAAGAUUAAGUUGUAAUUUUUGUGUGUGGUCGUUUAAUAAAUAUGUAUUAACUAGAAUAUGGGUAGGAAUAUUGAGGAAUUUGUUUAAAGUAGAUGUUCAUCAGAGCCAACCAUUGGAAGCCUUCAAAAAUAAAAAUGAAAGUUAAUAGUGCUCACUAUAUGCUUGCCUACUGAUCAGAGGGUAACAAAAUGGAAAACAUUAUAUUAUGAACACUGAUAUAUAAUACAUAUGGGUGUGCCUUCGGCAGUUUGAACACAACCCAAACUGAUGCAAGAGCAGAAUAAAUUUGAUGUUGUCAUUAUUAUUUUAGGCUUGGAGAUGAGCUCAUAUUUAAGGUUUCCUAUUAUUUUGUUCCAUUAUUUUGAUUUUGAAUUUGGAUUCCUAAGGAGAUUAGGAUGAAUGUUUUAUUUUAGUUGAUGCCUUUUACAUUGUGUUUCUAAUGGGAAUAUCAAAGCAUUAAUAAAGUUGGUAUCGUGAUUUUUUCAUUGUUGAUAGUGCAUUGGUAUGUAUGAGCUCCCUACAGUAUGUAUUUGCCUCUGUAUUUGUUUUAAAAUAUUAUGGACUGCUUUUGGCUUUAUGUCUUUAACAAUGAAAAGAAUUCAACCAAGGUGCAGUUAUAUUUAAACUUGAUUAUGUUUCAACAACCCAGCUAAUUAUAUGAGGAAGUCCCGGCUCCCUUUCCCAAUUACAUUAUAUUGGGGAGUUUCAUUUAUUUACUCUUAUUUUAUUGUGUUUGUAAAUAAUUAUACCUUCUAUUUGCAAUGUGGUAUUUUCUAAAAUAUAAUUGUUAAAAGUGGGUUUUUUUCUCCCUCUCUCUCUCUGUUAUUUUUUCCUUUUAUAGAAAGUACAAGUCAUUAAUAUACGACCAUAAAAACAAAUAGUAGACUAAUUUAUUAUCUGCCAGCUAGAAAAAUCCCUAUUUUGUCUUUCCAAAGAAGAUAUUAUUGUAUUAUACUAUUAUCUGAUAGCUGGAAGUUGACGGAAAUAAUGGUUCACUUUUUUUUUUUUUUUUUUUUUCUAAGUAACUUUCUCCAACUUACUACAGGCAGCCCCAAGCAAAAUGUGUGAUUUAAAUGUUAAAGAUACAGCUUCCGGAGAUGACAAGGAAAACAAUCUAAGGAGUUCUUAUAUCAUUAUAUGGAGCACCUGCACUGCACGUUUUUAAGAAAUGAAGGUGAGAUGAGCAAAUUUGUCUGCAAUGCCUUCAUAAGAGAUGUAGCUUAUGUGGUCAAUCUCUUUGAAUUGAUACGGUGUUAUGGAACACAAUUAUUUUCAGUUCUUGCAAAGAACAAAUUUUAUGGCGAAGCUUCAAGAACAUUUUGUGAACUGAGAAAAGCAGGGUAGCAAGCGACAUAAUUACAUGGACUUUGAUGGUUUCAGGUUAUACACAUUAUGGGUUGGUGGAUGUGAGUCUAAAAUAUUAUGGAUUAACAAAAUAAUGAUGUUGUUUCCUGGAACAAAAUGAUUGAGGGAUUUGCAAUUUAUGUAUGGGAACACAAAGUUGCACUUGCUUUAAUGUUGUGUGCAGGAGAAAUCCCUGACAGUGUUACAUUCAUAAGGGUCCUCAACACAUGUAGUCAUGUUGGACUACAUGUGAGAUCCAAUACAAUAGUGCAAAUAUCAAAUCAAUUUUGUGUUUGGAUGCACUAUAUGCGAGAGAUGUAAGGAAAAUGUGAUCCAAUUUUUCUUUAGUUCUGCUAUGAGCAAAGUCGCUCCAAUAAAUGUGAGAAACAUAUUUGAUUAUAUUGAUGUUAAUGUUUUCUAACGUGUUUUAUAUUCUCAACAAGUUUGUAUUUUGUUAGGAGUUUGUUGCAUUUUUUUUUUUUUUUUUGGUAAGGUGAUCAUACUCAAUUGUUUGUUACCAGUUGUAUCUCAAGUGGUAAGGGAUCCUACUCAAUUUUUAAUUCUCAAUUUAAACAUCGUACAACAUUGUUCCAAGCAAUGGUUGCAGACUUGCAGAGAUACAACGAUGGAUAUAACUACCCUAUCAGCCCAUUGAUGAACUGCAUGUUGAUCAGUUGUAAUUCUGUUGUGUGUAAUGGUGUGGUAACAGGAACUGGGAAGACUGUGCUGCUGAGUGGUAUAUUGUAGGGUGCCUUUCAACUGAUUUUUGCAGGCUGCAAUUAGUUUGUAAAUUGAAGGGACAGAGUGCAACAUAGUUUCUUGACAAUUAGAGUAUGAAUAAAGAUGUAGUUAAUCAUGCCUGGUUAGUUGUAGGCUUUGUCUAUGCUGGUAGAUAUGUUUUGUAUGUGUACUUUAUGUUGUUUCUGUUUUAUGGGUGGGUUAUGUAUAAUUCUGUACGAAGAGGAGCAUGUCCUCUGGGAGGUAUUUGAUGGUGCAUUUAAACUAUGUGUGCUCAUCAGACUUUAUAUAUGGUUUGGUUUUUUUAGUGUUUAAUAAAAUACAAACUACUAUAUAGACCAUCAAAUAAUGCCUUAAAUCUUCAAUUUGUCCAUCUAUGUUAAAGACCAUUGCUAUAGUUACGAAGAUAGAAAUGACCACCCUAUCAGCCUACUGAUGCUGAAAACUAACAAUCCACUUGUUUGGUAUCCUUCCACUGCCUUUACAGUCACACUUGAUGUCACAAUACUCCAUCUGAAAUUAUUAAAAGUGAUCAUAAUGAACAAGAAUAUAUUUUUGGUUCUAUAAAAUAUACGAGUUGAUAGGAUGUGUUUGAUUCGCAUGCAUUUGAUUCCCGGGAAAAUGAAUAGAAAUGGCUAAGUUUUAAAAGAUUUUGAGUAGGAGAUCGGAAUUCAGAUUCCGGGCAUAGCUAUUUUAUUUGAAUACGAUUUUCAUUUAAAAAAAAAAAAAAAAAAAAAAAAAACCAUUUUAUAUAAUUAAUAGGACAAAGCAGACAAGUGUUUCACUUUAGUAAGAAUUUCGUCAAUCUCUGUCUCUAUUUCUCUCCCUUUUCUGCCCACUCUCUCUCCCUCUCCCAUCAUUCAAUGUUACAUUAGUACCCUUCAUUUCUUUGGAAUUUAAAUUCCAUGAACCAAAGACAGCGAUGAUUAUAGUUCUAAACAUGAUGUUAUUAAAAGUGACUUAAAACCAAACGGGAUAUGACAAGAUUUGGAUAAAAUUUCUAUCAUUUACGGGAACAAAACUACUAAAAAAUUCCCAAGAAAACCAUGAAUCCAAAAAGUCUGUUAACAAUCAACACAAACAUAAACAACAAUAAAAGCUUCAAUCCAACGUUCGGAUACAAAGCAAUAAAGUACAUCCACAAAUACAUAUAUCAGAAAAAAUAAAAGCUUAGAAAAUACUUCGACAACCAAAAUAAACAAUAUUGGUAUGGAACAUAUGGAAGUUCAAACAAAAACUGGAAACAAACAUACUUGAAGCAACAAUAGAUGUAAUGGAACAAUGACAAAAAUAUAUAUUUUUAAUACUUGAUUUUUAGAUUUAUUUAUCUUACUCUCAUAGUCCAAGUUCCUAAGAUUUAAGUUUAGUCUUGCUAUCUAUUAUUUACCACUUUCUGAGAAUCAAAAGCUAUUUAUCUGGUCGAAACUAACGUGGCGUAGCCAUGGGUACAACUAGUAUCUUUAUAAAACACACACCUCUAUAUAGUACGCUGGUCCCAUAAGCCUUGGUGAUGCCAUUAGAUUCAUGGAGGCGGCCACAUGGCUGACAGUGAGAAUGAUCUGAUCAGUACGUGCAAUAGCAUAUUAGGUCUACGCAAAUAAAACAAAAAGACAGAAUUUCUCACAGUAACAUACCCACAUAUAACAACUAGGAAGUAUGAAUCCACCACAAAUCAAUAACUGAAAACAUAUCCAAAAAUGCCAACAGUUAAAGACACAUACUGUUGCCAACAGUUAAAGCCCAAGGAAUAUCGCAGAAAAAGUGAAAAAACCAAAGUACUUAAUUAAUGCAAAUUACUUAAUAAAAAGUUGGCUACCUGGAGCUCUCCAAUGUCAGGAUAUCUUCAAUCGCAACUUUCCACAAGGACCUAAUCCAAACUUCAAUCUCAGAGAUGAAUCCAUUCUCGAAGAACUCACUGAAUUUUACUUGGAAGUUUCUUAUGUUGUCAAAGUAAACCUAGAUGAAGUGUCAUAUCCAGAAACAAAUUAUUAUGUGAGAAUAAAAUGGUCCAACAAACUACAACAUAGACAAGGCCUGGAAGUUUGCUGAAGGGAAGGUCUGAAAGACUAUGGCUAUAUAUCUGUUGGGUCUCUCAGCAACGAUAGUACAUAGGGAGCAAGAGAGUUACCUGGCGCCACAAGCAGCAGCAGUCCAAAAGCUCCCAGCAGCAGUACAAGCAUUCUGCAGGUUUGGUUAGAGUGUUUCCUGGGCUUUCGGCUUUGCUUGUAUGUGUACACAUGGUAUGUAAAGGUGGGGUUGGGAAUGAGAUGAUGUAUAUAACAAGGAAAUGUCUUUUGGGGUGUAAUCUGAUGAUGCAGUCCUUGCAUUCUGAUCAGACGAUAUUGUAAGCCUGAUUUUUCUUUAGAAAUACAUAUACUACUUUUAUCAAAAAUAAAUAAAGCUUUGUAACAACAAUCCUACUAUAACUUUGACAUGUACUUUUAAGGAGUGGUGGAAUAUUAUGUUGUUUUCUUCAAACAUAAACCUAAUAACACAUCAAUUUAUUUAUUUUUUGUUAUCGUUAUCCUCUGUCUCUCAAUCCUUAGACCCAAUUUUUCUUAGAAUAUGGUAUCAAUCUUUCAAUUUUAAAUAGCAAAUCAAACAAAUAACCAUACAAAUUGUUUUAGAUUUUAGCAAAUCUCUCCGUCCUACUAACCUAAAAAAAUAUUUUGAAACUAAUUGAAUGGCUAAAACUGCGGGAGAGCGGUUUGGGAGCCGGGGGCGGUGCAGUAGCUAGACGGUAAAGUCCCACAUGAAACUGGAUUUGGGUCUACGCAUGAAACGAAGACCAUAGCUGCCGAUCAGGACCUGAUGUGUGACUGGGUCCUUGUUCUUACAGUGUAGCAUUACAUGGUUUUUUCAAUUUCAUUACGUAAAGUCAGGAUUGUGAUUAAUCUUUCACAACCUGACUCCACUAUGUAAUCUUUCCCUUCGAUAAAGUGAAAGUUAUAAAUAAGCAAACUAGUCGUAAACCAUUUUCAAUCUUGGAUUACCCAAUUUCAUUCUAAUUCCUAACACUAUGUGAUAUGAAUAACAAUAAAAAUUCUCGUUUUCUUCUUUUUUGUAAAAAUUUAGUUUUAACAGAAUCAAAUUGUAGAGAAAUCAAAGCCUUGAAUAGAUGGAAUUCAACUUAUCUAACCUUUCAACCAAGGUUGCAACCCCUAACAGCCGAGAGAAACCGAGAAAACACCCCAGCUUGUUCCAAAUAAACAGAUUCUAUUGACUAGUCAAAAUCGAAAUCCAAACUAGGGUUUAUAUAGAUAAUUGAGAGAAACAGAGACCAAGUGGCAGGAAGCAUCAAAGUAAUCGAGACAGAAGAGUAGGAAGAAGAUGAUAAAGGGUGAGAGAAAGAAUUUCAAACUCAGGGUUCAAAUCAGAUCGAGGAAGUGAGAAAGGUUGAGAUUGUGGUGAGGAGGAAGAGAGAGUCGAGGAAGUGGGUGGUUUCUCUUGUUAACGCCUUGGCUUUCCUCAUGUGAUAAGCACGUCACAAAUUUUGGUUUUUUUUUAUUAACUUCUAACAACACAAGGCCGUUAGUAUUAUUUUCUAGUAGUGUUACUAAAUAAUUCAAAAUAAUAUUAAUUUAUUACUAACAAAAAUUGGCCUUUACUAGCGGCAAAAAAAUGUUAUUACACUUCUAACAGCAAAAUGAUGUUAGAAAUCUAAA
rnacentral:lncRNA from 1 species